rnacentral:rRNA from 1 species
AUUGAACGCUGGCGGCAGGCCUAACACAUGCAAGUCGAACGAGUGGCGGACGGGUGAGUAAUGUUUGGGAAACUGCCUGCUGGAGGGGGAUAACUACUGGAAACGAUCGCUAAUAACGCAUACCAUCGGAUGUGCCCAGAUGGGAUUAGCUAGUAGGUGGGGUAAAGGCUCACCUAGGCGACGAUCCCUAGCUGGUCUGAGAGGAUGACCAGCCACACUGGAAAUGAGACACGGGCCAGACUCCUACGGGAGGCAGCAGUGGGGAAUAUUGCACAAUGGGCGCAAGCCUGAUGCGGCCAUGCCGGGUGUAUGACGAAGGCCUUCGGGUUGUAAAGGACGUUCAGCGGGGAGGCGGUACCCGCAGAAGAAGCACCGGCUAACUCCGUGCCAGCAGCCGCGGUAAUAC